UGCGCAGGCGGGAAAUUAAGUCAGUGGUGAAAGCCCCGAGCUCAACUUGGGAACUGCCAUUGAUACUGAUUUUCUUGAAUGUAGUUGAGGCUGGCGGAAUACAACAUGUAGCGGUGAAAUGCAUAGAUAUGUUGUAGAACACCAAUUGCGAAGGCAGCUAGCUAAACUAUUAUUGACGCUGAGGCACGAAAGCGUGGGGAGCGAACAGGAUUAGAUACCCUGGUAGUCC
rnacentral:rRNA from 1 species